rnacentral:lncRNA from 1 species
UUUUUUUUUUUUUUUUGAGGAAACAGGAAGUAGAAGGGAAAAGAGCCUCUAGCUCAGGGUAGAACCUAAGGCAUGCUGGGGUAGAAAUGACUCCUGCUGCUGGCCAGCAGGGGCCGCUCUGGAGCCUGUGGGAGGACUGACCUGCUGGUACCGGUGAUUAGCUGGAUCUUGUGUGCUGUCCACGGUUGCCAAGAAACGAUGUUCCUACUGCUCUCAGUCACUGAGCCAGCUCUGGUUACUGCUGACAGGCCCCACAGGGGAGUGCCUGGAGUCAUGCAGGCAGAGGAGACCAAGUCCUUCCCCGUGAAGGCAGUGUGGUGUUUCCUUUUAGGGAACCUGGCUUACCUUUGGGGCCCGUGUCCUCUGGGCCUUGAGCUGUACUCAGAAAAUCCAGGACCUAUGAACUCCCAAGGAAGGUGCGGAGUACUGGGCAGGACCUGGGCCUGGGCAGGCUCUGGGGGCGGGCCAGAUGAGACCUCUUCAGAACAGAACAAACAAAGAAACUGAAGUCACCCCGUGCUACCCAG